rnacentral:SRP_RNA from 1 species
ACCGGGAGUGGUGGUAUACUCUUGUAAUCCAACUACUCGGAGGUCAGUUGAUGUGGAUGUUUUAAGGGGGAGGGUUUUGGGAUUGAAUUUUCCACGUUGACUAGGCGUCCACUAGGGGUAAAUCUUUGACGUGAAUGCCUUGGGGAAGCCCGAGGUAGCCAGGUUGAGUCCAAAAAAGGGGAAAAUUGGUCGCGAAAAAUCACCGAGUUGAUAGUCGUGGGUUCGAAUCCUGGGAGUGGGAGUUUAAUUUUAUAUCCUACGUAAGGGGAUAAGUGAUUUAGCACCCUU